GUGGGGAAUAUUGGACAAUGGGCGAAAGCCUGAUCCAGCCAUGCCGCGUGAGUGAUGAAGGCCUUAGGGUUGUAAAGCUCUUUCAGUAGGGAAGAUAAUGACGGUACCUACAGAAGAAGCCCCGGCUAACUUCGUGCCAGCAGCCGCGGUAAUACGAAGGGGGCUAGCGUUGUUCGGAAUUACUGGGCGUAAAGCGCACGUAGGCGGAUAUUUAAGUCAGGGGUGAAAUCCCAGAGCUCAACUCUGGAACUGCCUUUGAUACUGGGUAUCUCGAGUAUGGAAGAGGUGAGUGGAAUUCCGAGUGUAGAGGUGAAAUACGUAGAUAUUCGGAGGGACACCAGUGGCGAAGGCGGCUCACUGGUCCAUUACUGACGCUGAGGUGCGAAAGCGUGGGGAGCAAACAGGAUUAGAAACCCUUGUAGUCC
rnacentral:rRNA from 1 species